AGUAACACGUGGAUAACCUACAUAUAAGACUGGGAUAACUUCGGGAAACCGGAGCUAAUACCGGAUAAUAUUUUGAACCGCAUGGUUCAAAAGUGAAAGACGGUCUUGCUGUCACUUAUAGAUGGAUCCGCGCUGCAUUAGCUAGUUGGUAAGGUAACGGCUUACCAAGGCAACGACGCAUAGCCGACCUGAGAGGGUGAUCGGCCACACUGGAACUGAGACACGGUCCAG
rnacentral:rRNA from 1 species